rnacentral:rRNA from 1 species
GAUGAACGCUGGCGGCGUGCGUAAUACAUGCAAGUCGAGCGAACAGACGAGGAGCUUGCUCCUCUGACGUUAGCGGCGGACGGGUGAGUAACACGUGGAUAACCUACCUAUAAGACUGGGAUAACUUCGGGAAACCGGAGCUAAUACCGGAUAAUAUAUUGAACCGCAUGGUUCAAUAGUGAAAGACGGUUUUGCUGUCACUUAUAGAUGGAUCCGCGCCGCAUUAGCUAGUUGGUAAGGUAACGACAUACCAAGGCAACGAUGCGUAGCCGACCGGAGAGCGUGAUAGGCCGCACUAGAACUGAGACACGGUCCAGAGUCCUGCGGGAAGCAGCAGUAUGGAAUCUUCCGCAAUGGGCGAAAGCCUGACGGAGCGACACCGCGUCAGUGAUAAAGGUCGUCGGAGCGUAAAACGCGUUUAGUAGGUAAGAACAAAUGUGGAAGGAACUAAGCACGGCUUGACGGUACCUUAUAAGAAAGCCACGGGUAACUACGUG